rnacentral:rRNA from 1 species
AUACGGAGGGUGCAAGCGUUAUUCGGAAUCACUGGGCGUAAAGGACGCGUAGGCGGGUUGGCAAGUCAGAUGUGAAAUCCUACAGCUUAACUGUAGAACUGCAUUUGAAACUGCUAACCUAGAGUAUGGGAGGGGGAGAUGGAAUUAGUGGUGUAGGGGUAAAAUCCGUAGAUAUCACUAGGAAUACCGAAAGCGAAGGCGAUCUCCUGGAACAUAACUGACGCUAAGGCGUGAAAGCGUGGGGAGCAAACGGGAUUAGAAACCCCUGUAGUCC